rnacentral:rRNA from 1 species
CAGUCGCCGCGGGAAUACGGAGGGUGCAAGCGUUAAUCGGAAUUACUGGGCGUAAAGCGCACGCAGGCGGUCUGACAAGUCAGAUGUGAAAUCCCCGGGCUUAACCUGGGAACUGCAUUUGAAACUGUCAGGCUGGAGUCUUGUAGAGGGGGGUAGAAUUCCAGGUGUAGCGGUGAAAUGCGUAGAGAUCUGGAGGAAUACCGGUGGCGAUGGCGGCCCCCUGGACAAAGACUGACGCUCAGGUGCGAAAGCGUGGGGAGCAAACAGGAUUAGAUACCCCAGUAGUCCCUGUCUCUUAUAC